rnacentral:rRNA from 1 species
GACGUAGGGCGCGAGUGUUGUCCGGAUUUAUUGGGCGUAAAGAGCUCGUAGGCGGCUUGUUGCGUCGGCUGUGAAAACCCGUGGCUUAACUACGGGCUUGCAGCUGAUACGGGCGGGCUAGAGUUCGGUAGGGGAGACUGGAAUUCCUGGUGUAGCGGUGAAAUGCGCAGAUAUCAGGAGGAACACCGAUGGCGAAGGCAGGUCUCUGGGCCGAUACUGACGCUGAGGAGCGAAAGCGUGGGGAGCGAACAGG